rnacentral:rRNA from 1 species
GAUGAACGCUGGCUACAGGCUUAACACAUGCAAGUCGAGGGGAAACGACGGGGAAGCUUGCUUCCCCGGGCGUCGACCGGCGCACGGGUGAGUAACGCGUAUCCAACCUGCCUCUGACUGAGGGAUAACCCGUCGAAAGUCGGCCUACUACCUCAUGGCAUCGUCUGCGGGCAUCCAACGACGAUUAAAGAUUUCAUCGGUCAGAGAUGGGGAUGCGUCUGAUUAGCUUGUUGGCGGGGUAACGGCCCACCAAGGCGACGAUCAGUAGGGGUUCUGAGAGGAAGGUCCCCCACAUUGGAACUGAGACACAGUCCAAACUCCUACGGGAGGCAGCAGUGAGGAAUAUUGGUCAAUGGGCGAGAGCCUGAACCAGCCAAGUAGCGUGCAGGAUGACGGCCCUAUGGGUUGUAAACUGCUUUUAUGCGGGGAUAAAGUGAGGGACGUGUCCUUCAUUGCAGGUACCGCAUGAAUAAGGACCGGCUAAUUCCGUG